rnacentral:rRNA from 1 species
CCUACGGGAGGCAGCAGUGAGGAAUAUUGCACAAUGGAGGAAAGUCUGAUGCAGCAACGCCGCGUGGAGGAUGACNCAUUUCGGUGCGUAAACUCCUUUUAUUNGGGAAGANAAUGACGGNACCUUAUGAAUAAGCACCGGNUAACUCCGUGCCAGCAGCCGGGGGUAAUA